GACAGAGGGUGCAAACGUGUUCGGAAUUACUGGGCGUAAAGCGUGUGUAGGCGGCCACGUAAGUCGGAUGUGAAAGCCCCAGGCUCAACCUGGGAAGUGCACUCGAUACUGCGUGGCUUGAGUAUCGGAGAGGUUGGUGGAAUUCUCGGUGUAGAGGUGAAAUUCGUAGAUAUCGAGAGGAACACCGGUGGCGAAGGCGGCCAACUGGACGAAUACUGACGCUGAGAACACGAAAGCGUGGGGAGCAAACAGG
rnacentral:rRNA from 1 species